GAUGAACGCUAGCUACAGGCUUAACACAUGCAAGUCGAGGGGCAGCAUGGGGUUUGCUUGCAAACUCUGAUGGCGACCGGCGCACGGGUGAGUAACGCGUAUCCAACCUUCCCCCCAGUAGGGCAUAGCCCGGUGAAAAUCGGAUUAAUACCCUAUGUUGUAUUUUGAGGACAUCUGACGAAUACCAAAGGUUUACCGCUAGGGGAUGGGGAUGCGUCUGAUUAGGUAGUCGGCGGGGUAACGGCCCACCGAGCCAUCGAUCAGUAGGGGUUCUGAGAGGAAGGUCCCCCACAUUGGAACUGAGACACGGUCCAAACUCC
rnacentral:rRNA from 1 species